rnacentral:lncRNA from 1 species
AUGUUAAACAAACUUUAGUUCCAGGAUAAAUUAUGGUUGUGAUAUAUUAUACUUGUGUGUGUGUGUGUGUGUGUGUGUGUGCAUUACUAAAUUAAGUUUGCUAAUGUUUUGUUAAGGAUUUUUGUAUCUGUGUUCAUUAAGGAUUUUCAUCUGAGCUUUUCGUUUGUUGUGUUUGUUUUUAAUGUUUAUUCAUUUUUGAGAGAGAGAGAGAGAGAGAGAGAGAGAGAGAGAAUGAGUGGGGAGGGGUAGAGAGAGGGAGACACAGAAUCCAAGGCGGGCUCCAGGCUCUGAGCUGUAGGUGCAGAGCUGGAACUCACAAACUGGGAGACCAUGACCUGAGCCAAAGUCAGAUGCUUAACUGACUGAGCCACCCAGGUGCCCGUUUUUGUUUUUUAAUUUUUAUUUUAAGUAGCCUCCAUAUCCAAUGUGGGCUUGAACUCACUACCCUGAGGUCAAGACUCUUAACGCUCUACAGACAGAGCCAGUCAGGCACCCUCCUUUUUUUGUUUUCUUUUGUUUUGCGGUUUCUGUUUUUGCUACAAAAAGCUUUAUUGUUUCCAUGUGGUCCACAGCUUGGGAGGGCUCCAGGUGGUUAAACAGCUGCCCAGCCGCAGCAGGGAGAGGCUCGGGCAGAACCUGGCACCAGGGGGACCCCAGAGGGGCCGCUCAAAGGCUGCUGGACUUCAGAGGCUCCUAGUUGUGCUUCGGGGUGAUCUUUUCCAAGAGAUGCUCGUCCUGCGCGGACCUCGGGGAGAUGAGUUAGGUGGCCGUCCGUCUUCUUGAUGAGUUUCACCUCCUCAUCCAGGAAGUGGAUCUCCAGGAAGUCUCAGAGCUGGCGGUCUGCGAGACAGAACCCAGAGCCUGCCCAUCCCAAAGGGGCGGGUUUAGAUUCUUCUCCAGAGCGCGGCAGCUGUCAUGGCGUCCAGGGUUUUAUUCCACUCAUCCCAGGAGGCCUUCUGCACGUCCCGAAAAGGGUGCCAACGCUGCGCGGGUCUUGCAUCUUCAAGAGAUGCUCAGGGCCCUUGUGCUUCUCCUCGGCCGACUCCGGGAAGAAGCGGCCCACGCACUCCAGAGCCACAUCCUUGCGGUAGAAAUAGAAGCCUAGACAGCUUGGCCCAGAAUCGCAAACAAUCACACUACUUGCUCCUUAAAGAUCCACUGCUUUCUAAACAGUUCAACUCUAGAAUAUCUGCACAAACUGGAACUCCUGCUUUCCUGACAGCUGAAGCUCCUGUCACCGGAACUCUCCUAAAAUCCGCCAGCAGAUUUCCGAGGCUUUUUACCGAAAACUAUGACCGGUUUGCUUUGGAAACACUAGGUUGGUUCUGGAAUCAGUCUGAGGGUCCGUAUGCGGCAAAUGAUGGGUUUGUUCUACUACCCCUCAAACCCCCUUGUGAUUGCCUUUUCCCUUUUCUCGUCCUGAGACGCUCUGGUGUCCUUCAAGUGCAGCCAUAGGCUCCGCUCUUGGCAUUCACCGCGUGCCUUAAUUGUAUGACAUUAAAUCAAGGUCCGCUGUGAACACGGAGGGCAGAGUCUGAUCUUGAUCCGGAAAGUAACUGACCCACUGCGAACACAUCACUUCUCCUGCCCUUCCCCCUACGCCGAGCUCUGAGUCCCUACAACUCCCCCAGAGUCGUAACUCAUAAGCCGGGCUCCUGUCUCAGCUCGCCUCCUGCAACAGCUGCCAGAGCCGCUGCUAAUUAGUCUGUUCGGUGGAAGUGUAGACGAUGCAUGUGUCUGCGUAUACAUAUGCAUAUAUCUGCAUGCCAUUUACAGCACACCUAAAAACAUACAUACCCUAUAAAUCUAGUUUUCAAAUGACGGCGUGGAUCGAAGUUAAUUACCCCCCUGGUACAGAUCUAAUUUCGUAAUCGUGUUAUUUUCCUGAAGGCAAUUAACCGAGUUGGUUCGCCCUGCAUCCCUUCUAAGUCACUUGUAAGGGAUGGCAGGUUUUAAGGACCGCGCCAUUGCAUGUUCUGGUGCAGAAAGCUUUGUCAGUCACUUCUUGCUGUUGGGAAUGAGAUCUAGCGUAUAGAAGGGAAAGUAAUCAUGCGUGUGUGUGUGUGUGUGUGUGUGUGUGUGUAAGAUAAACACGCAGAUAUGCCUAGGCUCUGUGUCCUCUGAUAACGUCACCGUGGUUUCGGUUGGGAGGUUUGGGGAAGAGAUGAGAGGCCAAGGGCGGGCUGGGUCGUCUUUCUUUGUAAUGCGGAAAAAUUAACUCAACCGCACCUGCCUAGUCCCGAGAGAGCUGGGCGGCCCAUCUGGUCUGGCUACAGCUUUGGUGCAGAGAGAAAAGGCAGCUCGCUAAGGCUUCCCCACUGCCUGGGAGCGCGGACCUCGGGUCUGGGCCCGGCUGGGGGUUAUGGCUCAGAACAGCGCAGCCGACGCGCUCUCCUCAGACUGCGGCAAGAGUCUGGAGGCUGGAGGAACCUGGGCCGGGCGGAGGGAGGGCGAGCAGGAGAGAGGAAGGGGUGAGGGGAGUUGACCUCUACGGGCGGAGCCCUCUGCGCAGCGGGCAGGAGCUGGCGGGCGCAGCGGCUCUUUUCGCGGCGUCCCCUACAGCGCGGUCGGCCCAAGGGAAAGGCCCGCUCCGACUCCUGCGUCCGAGGAAGCGAGGAUCCUCAGCCACCGCAGUCCCUGGGCGGCGUAGAUACCGGCUGCGGCUGGAGGGAGCGCCGAGAGCCAGUCCAGCGCAGAUUCCCCAGCACGCGCUUCUGAAAAACAGAAUCACAGUGCAGCAUUAGAGAGGGAGAGAGGUGGGGGGAGGGGGAGUUUGGGGACAGAGGAACAGGAGGCGGGAGGGAGCAGACGAGGGAGGUAAGGUGACGGGGAGACAGGACCCCAGACGGCGGGCUGCGACCUCUGUCCUCAGGCUUCAGCCCGGCGCAGAGGGGCCCGCGGCGCGCGGAGCCCGCGGGGCGCAGCCCGGGGGGCGGCGCGGUGGCGGAGCACGCAGGUCCUGGCUGCGGAAGCCGCGAGGUGGGGGCCAGACGCUGCGGCACCGCAGCUGCCGGAGAAGAGACGUCGGGAGCUGGAACUGUCAAUACGCGUCCGCAGAAGAUCAUCCGGCGCAGUCCAGCAGUUCCCGCAUUCUGUGCUCCCUUGCCCCAGCCUCACCCCUUCCCCCAGACCACACUCUACAUCCGCACUCUCCAAUCCCCACCCCUUCUUGGCUUAGGACCCCGCAAACUGCAAGACCCGCGCGUCCCAGCAAGAAAAUCGAAACGAUCGAUGAAAGAAUUACAUAUACACAUAGCCCUAGAAAUCCGAAGGAGAAAGACCUACUGGCUCUGAUCAAACCUGGAGAGGACCAAAGCGUUUUCAAUUGCUGUUGAGCGCCUUCGCGGAGGAAAGAGGAGGCUGAGAGGCUUCCGUGGUAUAAGGUGCUUUAGGGUGGGAGGUGGGGGUGGGUGGGGGUGGGUCGGAGCGGUCCGGUCUUUCCCCCUCGCUUGCUGAUCCAGAAUUAGGGAUUAAUGGCUCGCUCCAGCCAAACAAAUAAGGCAUCUGCCUUCAGCACAAGAGGAUUACACGGGCUGCUGACGUCACCAGUCAGACAGAUGUUGGCUCCCAAAGUCCUGAGCAGCUCGCUGUGUCCUUGAAACCAAAGAGCCGCAGAAGGCGCUCAGCCCCCAAGAACUGCGCCUGGGUACAGCAAAGGGCGAGUGCCCUGCCCUUGCCUAUACCCCCCUGUCACCAACACAGAGGUCCAAAGACAGCCCCCUAAGACGUCGCGCCCCCAGUCUCUCUGGCCCUUCCUCACAGCCCUCCCGUCAAUGCUCAGGCUUGCUCAAGGCAAGCCAAAGUCACCAUUUUCGGUUGCCUCUCCCUAAAAUGGAGACAAGAGUCGACACCUCCUGGACAUUUCAUCUAGAUCCUUAAUUCUAAGCUCUUGGGCUCUUGUUCACUCACACAUGGUUGGCCAAGUAACUAUAGAAUAAGCACCUUAGGCCGGACAGAGCCCACGCUCCAGAUGAGGGGCAGCCUUUUAAUUAUGUGCGCAAGCAACAGAGCAGGGUUUAUCCGCAUCUCUCCUCCUCGCCUCUGCCGCCAUCCUUUCCCCAGGCCAAGGUUUAGGUUUAUGCUUAAUCUUAUCACGAGUGCCAUCCCGGACGAAUGUACCUUUCUAAACAAUGACCUGUUCUCAACCGAACUCUGUGUACCAACCAGAGCCCCGAGUCACCUCUCGGUGAGCCACGGGGACCUCACCAUGGUCCUGAUCAUUGCACAUUCUUUGCAAAUACUUUGAAAAAGGUUUCCAAAAACAACUAAACAAAAAGGUGUGUGUGUGUGUGUGUGUGUGUGUGUGUAUGUGUGUGUCUAAAACGUUUAUAUCAUCUGAUUUUGUACAUUCAGGUGACUGCACUUUUAUUUUACAGCCAAAUCAAAGAUCAAUAAUUAAUUCAUAGACCCUAAACUCUGUUUAAUUUGAUAUCAUUUUAAAAUUUAAAUUUAAAUAGAAACUAUUUCCAUUUCCCAAACCUGCCUAUUAUUUCUGCUUAUAUGGUUUCCCAGUCCUUUACAGGUCACACUGAAGUCAGGUUAUGAAAUAAGCCAAAAGAUCACAUAAAAUUGGGAAUUUAAAUGAGCAAUUUUGAAUGUGUUAUGUAAUUCACGAAUGAAAUGGUUUCAAGUCAAGUUCAAUUUUGUAAAGGAAUAAAGGGAAUUCAAAUACCA